GUCCCGGGAGCUCAGUUGGUAGAGCACCUGUACUUGGUGAUCGAAAACGACUAGCCAAUAACUGUCAGGAUGUUGCAGGAUCGAAGCCUGCCCGGGAUU